UGGAAACAUAUAACCAGCUAUCAUCGCUACAUAGAUUAUAUUUUUUUCAUCUGGCAGGGGGAUGAAUCUGCGUUAACUACAUUUGUGAAUUAUCUGAAUUCAAUUGAAUCCACAAUACGCUUCACUGUCUCCUGGAGUUCGUCCACGAUAUCCUUUUUGGAUAUCCUUAUCAAUCGCGAAGCAGGGUGAAGCGCAUUACAUCAGAUCCCAAUGAAUUAGAUUCCUCCAUAGAAACUAUGGCUGACAGAUUUCGUGAGCGUGGCUAUACCCCUGGGGCUAUUGAUCAAGCAAUUACAAAGACUAGAUGAGGGGUCUCUUGUGGUCUCUCUUGCUCAGCCUCUACAUAUGCCGUGAUCCUUUGGACCGGAUGAAUUGCCUCCAGAACUACAAUUGAUGUUAAUUAUGAUGCUUUGUGCAACCUUUCCUGAGCGUGUUAUAUUAUGAUACUGGGUUGGAACGCAUGUGCGUCUCAGUUGGAUCCUCAUGUGACGCUGGUACUGUCUUGGACGCUUAGCUAACCGGAAGUGACGUCUUGGUAACAAUCCGCAUCUGUUGAUGCUAGAGGAGGGAUAUACGCUGUAUUGGAACGCAUAUGCGUUCCACUACGAUACUAGGCGACGCUGCUCUACCCCCUAUGACCAGAGGGGCGGAAGUGACGUCAGACGCCGGAUUCCUAUCGAAUGGACUCUGCAUGGACUAUAAAAUGUUACAGACAGUAAGGCUCGUUCUGCCUUUUUGAUUUUUGUUCAUUUUUUGUGCCCCUGAUGAAGACCCCUAAGGUCGAAACGCGUUGGGCUCA